rnacentral:rRNA from 1 species
UGGGGAAUAUUGGACAAUGGGCGCAAGCCUGAUCCAGCCAUGCCGCGUGAGUGAUGAAGGUCCUAGGGUUGUAAAGCUCUUUCACCGGUGAAGAUAAUGACGGUAACCGGAGAAGAAGCCCCGGCUAACUUCGUGCCAGCAGCCGCGGUAAUACGAAGGGGGCUAGCGUUGUUCGGAUUUACUGGGCGUAAAGCGCACGUAGGCGGACUAUUAAGUCAGGGGUGAAAUCCCGGGGCUCAACCCCGGAACUGCCUUUGAUACUGGUAGUAUUGAGUUCGAGAGAGGUGAGUGGAAUUCCGAGUGUAGAGGUGAAAUUCGUAGAUAUUCGGAGGAACACCAGUGGAGAAGGCGGCUCACUGGCUCGAUACUGACGCUGAGGUGCGAAAGCGUGGGGAGCAAACAGG